rnacentral:rRNA from 1 species
UACAGAGGGGGCAAGCGUUGUUCGGAAUUACUGGGCGUAAAGGGCGCGUAGGCGGCCUGUUAAGUCGAACGUGAAAUCCCCGGGCUCAACCCGGGAACUGCGUCCGAUACUGGCAGGCUUGAAUCCGGGAGAGGGAUGCGGAAUUCCAGGUGUAGCGGUGAAAUGCGCAGAUAUCAGGAGGAACACCGGUGGCGAAGGCGGUUCUCUGGGCCAAUGACUGACGCUGAGGAGCGAAAGCGUGGGGAGCAAACAGG